AAGGUUUGACAUGGAGGGCAAAGUUGAAGAAAUUCAACGGAGGUUAUCCCGACACAGGUGGUGCAUGGUCGUCGUCAGUUCGUGCUGUGAAGCAUAUGCUUAAGUGCUAUAACGAACGCAACCCUCGUAUUUAGUUACUAUCAUUCAGUUGAGAACUCUAAAUAGACUGCUAAGGUUAACUUAGAGGAAGGAGAGGAUGACGUCUGAUCAUCAUGCCCCUUAUAUUCGUUGGGCUACA
rnacentral:rRNA from 1 species